rnacentral:rRNA from 1 species
UAGGGAAUCUUCCACAAUGGGCGAAAGCCUGAUGGAGCAACGCCGCGUGUGUGAUGAAGGGUUUCGGCUCGUAAAACACUGUUGUAAGAGAAGAAUGACAUUGAGAGUAACUGUUCAAUGUGUGACGGUAUCUUACCAGAAAGGAAUGGCUAAAUCGUGCCAG